GCUCUUGUGGUCUAGUGGUAUGAUUCUCGCUUUGGGUAUUCCAAUCUGCGAGAGGUCUCGCGUUCGAAUCGCGGCAGGAGCC